rnacentral:rRNA from 1 species
AUACGGAAGGUCCGGGCGUUAUCCGGAUUUAUUGGGUUUAAAGGGAGCGCAGGCGGAGAUGCAAGCGUGACGUCAAAUUUCGGGGCUCAACCCCGUCUCGCGUCGCGAACUGCGUCCCUUGGUUGCGGGAAGGGGAGGCGGAACUCGUGGUGUAGCGGUGAAAUGCAUAGAUAUCACGAAGAACUCCGAUCGCGAAGGCAGCCUUCCGGCCCGUCAACGACGAUCAUGCUCGAAGGUGCGGGUAUCAAACAGGAUUAGAUACCCUGGUAGUCCGCACAGUAAACGAUGGACACCCGCGGUUUGGCCUGUAUGGCUGAGCCGCCAAGCGAAAGCGUUAGGUGUCCCACCUGGGGAGUACGCCGGCAACGGUGAAACUCAAAUGAAUUGACGGGG